rnacentral:rRNA from 1 species
AGCGAACGCUGGCGGCAUGCUUAACACAUGCAAGUCGCACGGGCACUUUCGGGUGUCAGUGGCGGACGGGUGAGUAUCGCGUAGGGAUUUAUCGUUGGGUGGGGAUAACCUUGGGAAACUGGGCUAAUACCGCAUGACGCCUGUGGCCAAAGCAGCAAUGCGUCCUGAUGAGGAGCCUGCGUCCGAUUAGCUUGUUGGUGGGU